GGACUACUGGGGUAUCUAAUCCCGUUUGCUACCCUGGCUUUCGUGCCUCAGCGUCAGAUAAGAUCCAGUGAGCCGCUUUCGCCACCGGUGUUCCUUAGGAUAUCAACGCAUUUCACCGCUCCACCCUAAGUUCCGCUCACCUCUAUCUUCCUCGAGCACAGUAGUUUUGGGCGCAAUUCCUCGGUUAAGCCGAGGUAUUUCACACCCAACUUUCUGCACAGCCUACGCACCCUUUAAGCCCAGUGAUUCCGAAUAACGUUUGCAAGGUUCGUCUUACCGCGGCUGCUGGCAC
rnacentral:rRNA from 3 species